rnacentral:misc_RNA from 1 species
GGGACGAUUGUCAAAAUUUAUCCUUCAAUCUACACAUUGCAUACUUCUUUCUACAGCCUACGUCCAAAGGAGGUUUGCAGACUGAUAUCAAAUGGAAGGAAAAUAAUCCUUUUCAGCUUUUGACACAUUUUUAUGCACAUAGCUUCAGGAAACAAUCUGCUUAACAAAUCAAGUUAUUUUAUUGUUAAUGAAGCUUUAUCAUCAAUUAGUGAUUUCAUUCAAUAGCAUGUACUGCAUCAUUUUUCGUUUUAAAGCCACUCCACCAAAAUAGAGGAGGAAUUGUGAUGAAAAGAAAGGAAAAUCAAGCAGUAAGUUGCCUUACCGUCAAUAAGUCAUCUGGAUCAAAAAGGUGAUGGGUGGUUUUCUGUAAU